AUUUUUCUCUCCUUUUCACCACUCCACACCCGACCAUGAGAAGAGAGGAAGAGAAAGGGUGGACUGCCAUGGAUGAAGGGAAGGAGAGAAGAGAAGAAAAAUAUCAAGAGGAGGAAAGCAAAAAGGUAUAAAACACUAACCCUUAAACUGUGUUUAAUCUUGUUUUUAUGGGAGUUUGAUGAAAUAGAUCAUGGAUCAUGGAUCAUGGUAGAUCCACGAGUAUAAGAGGUAUUAGGAUGUAUUAUGUUGGUUAAUAUUUGAUUAAUCAAGAGAUCAUGGAGGAUUUCUUACAAAGCAUAAAGGUGAGAAAAAGAUUGAUUUUCUAGAAAAUAGAACAUGAAAUUCAAACAAUCAUAUGUCUGAUUCUAUUUCGAAUAUUUUGAGUGCGGUCAAGUUCUGGAGUUAGAUCUAUGAGUCUUCUAACUUCUCUAAGUGGAAUCACCGAAAAAGUCAUUUUAUAUUUUCAUAUGGACUGUUUUUGGUAAAGUAGGCAAAAUCUGGAAAAAAAGCCCUAAAUAUCAGCCACUUUGAGGCACUACCAUUUGAAACCUAAAAAUUAUUUUUGAGAUCCGUCAAAUAUGGGUGUUAGAUACGUGAUUUAGCUGUUAAACCCAAGUGAUAACACUCAAAAAUGUUAAACCAAUCAACCGUAACAUCAUUUUUCCCAAAACACUCCCAGCUGGACAAAAAUCUGGAAAAUCAGACAACUUUCGAGGCUAGUUUUUGGUGAAGGCUGUUUCGGCCACUUUAAGAGCUCUAAAAAUUUUGGACUUUUGUGGUGUGUUAGUAUAACAAGUUAACUAGAUUCUGUCCAAAGAUGGGAAUUUAUGGAUGUCCAGAAAUGGAGUUAUGACUUUUACAAAAAAAAAUGCGAUUUUAAAAGUAAACUGUAAUAACUCCUAAGAUAAAACUCAGAAAAUUGUGAAGAAUGUUUUGAUAAAAGGAUAAUUUAUGAUAAAUGUUGCCAUUUUGGACUGUUUUAUCCUAUUUAAAAAUUGAAAACAAAAUUGAAAAACUGCAAGAAAAUUAUUUUAUCACUAAGAUAUCAUAUACUGAUACGUCUCAGAAGAUGAAAAAAUAAUAAGUUGUUUAGGCAUUUUUCAUGCAAAUGAUUGAGUUAUGAAUAAAUGGAUAAAAUAAGUAAUGUAAUAUUAUAAAGUGUAAAAAUAUAAUUUUUUUGACAAAAGACCCUUAAUAUGAUGUAAUCACAAUUUUGGAAGGCAGUUUGGUUAUUUUUUAAAAUUUUUAUAUUUAUGGCAUUUUAGGUUUAUUAAAUAAAUGAAUUAGUAAAGGAUAAACAAUUAAAAUUAAUUAUUUAUGAGUUUAAUAGAUGAUUAAAAUAUUAUUAAAAGAUUAAUAAUAUUAUAUUAAAAUAUUAUUAAGUAAUUAAUAAUAUUUAGAAUUAAAAUAUUAUCAAAUGACUAAUAAUAUUAGAUCAAAGUUAAAUCAAAAUAUUAUUAAAUGAUUAAUAAUGUUUGUAAAUGAUUAAGAUAUUAUUAAAUGAUCAAGGUGAUUAAAAUAUUAUUAAAUGAUAUAUUAAUAAUAUUUGUAAAUAAAUGAAAUAUUAUUAAAUAAUUAAUAAUAUUCAUAAAAGAAUAAAAUAUUAUUAAAUAAUUAAUAAUAUUAGAAGAGGGUUUAAGAUGAAUGAUAAAGCAGUUAAGAAGGCUUAAUAAGGGUAUUAGGCUUUCAUCGAAAUAAAAAUAAUUAUACAUUGACAAGUCGGGAAAUCAUCAAAGCAAGUUAUAUAUCGACUAAAGUAAGUCAACUUGUGACGUAUUUGAUGAAUGGGUAACAUACCCAUGAAUUGGAUAUGUUCGAGCUUGAUUUAUUGUUGUUUUCGAGUAUUUUAGGAUAGUUUUUAUAUGUUUAAUUGUUAUUUUGCAGAUUGAGGCUAAGUAGGGGCAUAAAGGGAAUUUUGGCAUAAUCGAGGGCAAAAGUAUAAUGUGGCAGCCCUAAGCCUAGCGUCGGGGCGCUGAGGUCCAGAAAUAGUUGACUAAGGCGCGUGCGAUGAGGAUGGUUGACAAGGAAUAGGAGUCUAAAGAGCCAAGAGGUAUUUAAGGAAGCAAUCAGGAGAAGAAAGAGGCUAAUUAGAGCUGAAGAUUAGUCAAGGAAUCAACAUAGAAUUGUGGAAAAGAAUUCCAACUGAAGAUUGAAGUAUGAAGGAGUUCUUUUGGAGUUUCUUCUUCUUCUUUAUUUUUAAUUGUGUAAUUCUAUUGAUCGAGAUGAUUUUCAUGGGAUUUUUGGUUUUAUUUUUCAAUAUGAACUAACUUUUAAUUAAGAGUACAAAUUGAACCUUUUAUGUUUAUGAAUUGAUUAUUCAAUUUAAUCCAGUUAUUUAUGUCAAGUUGAAUUGUUUAUCAUGUUUUGUGCUUAUUGAUUAAUUAUUUGGCCAGUAAUUACUAUGUUACACUAGAAGGAUUCGGGAGAUGAAAUCUAGGGUUAGAACUGAACAUGAUAGCAUGUAUGCUUAAUUAUUUGCAUGAGAUAAAUAAUUAGGGUUGUGAAUUGAAUAAAGGAAUAUCUUUUUUCACUGCAUGUAACAGUUGGGAAUUGGAACUUAAUGGGUUUAAUUUAAUUCUUUUUCAUAGGAAUAUGGCAGAAUUAAUUGAAUUAAAUAAAUGUUAUUUGACCACUUGGGAAAGGGCUUUUAACAAAUAAAAUUCCUGUUAACAAUUCAGGUAACAUAAUAACUGGAGUAAUUGGAUAAUUGGUUUGUAAUACAUAGUUGGGGAUAUUGUAGUCUUAACACUUAUUUAUUUGAAUUAAUUUCUAGAGUAAUAAGUUUUAAUUAGUUAAUUUAGUUUUCUUAAUUAGAAAAAUCACAAAUUGCGGUUGUUUAAAUAAAAUUGAAUUGGUAUUGUACUAGUAGUUGGAGUUUAUUGAUUGGAAUUCCCUGUGGGUACAACACUUACUUUUACCACUUUAUUACUUGCUGACUGUGUAUGCUUGCAUAAAUAAUUGAUUGUGAAAUCGAUCAACAAAUUUUUUGGCGCCAUUUCCGGAGAAUUCAUUAUUAAUAUUAAUUCCAUAUUAGUUAUAAUCAAUUCAGUUUUAAUUUAAACGUUAUUUACUUAUUUUUCUUCUUGUGCUUGCAGAAAGUCGUUGUUAGUGUAUGCACACU
rnacentral:lncRNA from 1 species